rfam:Pteropus alecto contig100467, whole genome shotgun sequence.
GGUUCCAUAGUACAGCGGUUAGCACGUCUGCUUUACAUGCAGAAGGUCCUGGGUUCCCGCCUCAGUGGAGCCA